rnacentral:lncRNA from 1 species
AAUGACAAACAUAAAGGGAAGGGGCUCUCCUUGUAUGUUUUCUGUGCCUUAGAAAAAGAACACAGGGCUGUUCUCUUGACCACUUAUAUGUGAGUCUGCAAAAAUAAUGGUAUUAUAGACAUCAAGGGAAUGGAUAUAGGACAAGCAAGUUCCAGAGAAGUUUCUUCCCAAGAGAAGUAAAGUGCAUAUUGCGCACCCUGAGCACCGUAAGAGCUAAGACAGCUUUCUGAAAUGGGUGGGAAGAAUGAAAUAAAAAGGCAAGAAGCCAAAGAGAAAGGCGCCCGGUCACCUGGUCACAACAAAGCGUCAGCCUGCUGCAGCCCAACAAGCAGACUUUGGGGGAACUAGCAGGAAGGAGCCUGAGCUGCCGGAGCCCAUUC